rnacentral:lncRNA from 11 species
AGUAGAUUUGCAUCUGUACCCCUCAACUCUGGCACCGACAAAUGAAGGAAUAUCCCUAUUCCAGCACUGAAACUGUCCUCCUUGCAAAAGCAAGCCUUUCCCAUGACUGGCUACUCACAGAAAGGUAUUGUGCAAAGGAUUCCUUUGCCUCCCCCUCUUGCCCUCCCUUCAUGAUUACGUGAGUGACAGUCCUGCCAAAUCAGAGCGGCCAUUCAUUCCCAGGGCAGUGGUCAGAGAGCACAGAAAGUACUGACAUUACUUAGCCAAGUAAGAUUGGCAGUGGGCAGAACAAAGGCAGCUUUUGGCUGGGUGCUUUCAUGGCCAUUUAAUCAAAGCAACUCCAAACACUCCUGUUCUUUGUCUCCUUUUGAUUAUUUUGAAGCAAAGAGUACACAAGGAUGUAACAGAUCUGCUUAAUCCCAGAAGCAGGUGAUGGAGCAUUGUGUAAUCAUCCUGGCUCCUCUAUGAACAAAAACCAAGGAGCUGGCCUUUGUCCCCCACUCUGUUCCAGCAUGUUUGCUUUCCUGUGGUUAAAGUCCCUUCUAGGCUGGGGCAGCUUACAAAUGCAAAAGAAAAUACAUACAACCUACUUGUUUGUAACUUGGGGACUGCCGGUAUUUGUAUGCAGCAUCUCAAGGUUUAUUCCAAGCUCUCCUGCUCCUCUGCAUAAGGAACCAGAAAGGUGGCACCAAAGAGGUUUCUUCCUGAUCUGCCCAAGACCAUGCGUUAUUUUUCAUGACUGUGUAGUUCAUCAUGUGACAUUGUUAUACCACAAUUGCACAGAAUUAGCCCCAUCUUUUCAUGGAGCUUCACACAAGAUCAUGCUUCUCCCAUUACUUUACUGUGCUGUCCUGCUUUUGAGUAACUUGGAAAUCAAUUUUUCCACUUGAAAUCAUUCAUUAAGAGGCUCCUGUCCCACUAUGAUUUAGUAAAUGUUUUUGAAUACAAAUAUCUCAUUUGGCUUUGUUGCAAUAUUGUGAACGGAGCGAGUGUGAUGUGGAUGUGGUUUCAUUCUCCUUCCUUAGAUAUUCUCCAGAUAUUUCCAGCAAGGAAAAUUUGACCCAUUUCAGUGGUUGGAUCGUGAAGAUAUUGGGAUUUCAAAGUGCUCCCAAUAGAACUGCCAUAUUUUUAUUGUCUGCCAUUUUUUAAAAAGUCUUUUUAAAGGAAGGCUAAUAGCACAAUAGUGCAUUUUAAUGUAAUUCUAUUAAGGCUUAUUGUCUACAGAAAUCAUGAGGUUCAUGAAAAGUUUGAAGAGGAAAUAAAGACGAUUAUUGCCCAAAACCUAACCAGGCAAGUAUUGAUUAAAAGAGGAAGGCAUAGGAAAAAUUGGUGGAAGUGGCAUUAUAUGUGUUUAUCUUCCUAGUCGGGGGGGGGGGGUGUCUUUCUGUAAUGACAUCUUUAUGUAAUUGUCCAAAAAGGGGUUGCUAGAAAUAAUAUCAUACAAAAGCUGACUGGCACAACUCGAGGAUCACAACCAGACACAGUGAAGACAUCUGCCCUUGCGCUUUGUUACUCUGCUGCUGAAUAUGCAUGCCCAAUGUGGAAUACAUCUCACCACGUUAAAACUGGAAAUGGCUCUUAAUGAGAAUGUUGCAUUAUCUCAGGAUGUCUAUGCCCCACACCACUAGAGAAAUUAUACUGCUUAGCCGGCAUUGCACCACCUAACAUCCGCUGGGAAGUAGCAGCCAACAAUGAAAGGACAGAGGCAGUGACAUCUCUGGCCCAUCCCCUGUUCAGAUAUCAGCCAGGAAGCCAAUGCCUUAGAUCAAGAAAUAUCAUCUUCUUAAGAUCUAUAGAGAUACUCACAGGAACACCUCAGCAGGCAAGAGUCCAAAAGUAGCAGCUUAAAACCCGGAACCUCAAUCAGUGGC